CGUCGCUGCCGCCACUGCCCAGCAGGGCGGCAGACCAGAGCCCACACCUCUGGACCGAAGAACAGACAGCGCUGGUGCCCUCCCGACGGGCGCCGGACCAACAAGAAAUUUCGGAUGCACGCAUGCGCCAGGACGGCGUAUGAACCCCC
rnacentral:sRNA from 19 species